rnacentral:rRNA from 1 species
AGUGAACGCUGGCGGUAGGCCUAACACAUGCAAGUCGAACGGCAGCACAGUAAGAGCUUGCUCUCACGGGUGGCGCGUGGCGGACGGGUGAGGAAUACAUCGGAAUCUACUUUUUCGUGGGGGCUAACGUAGGGAAACUUACGCUAAUACCGCAUACGACCUACGGGCGAAAGCAGGGGAUCUUCGGACCUUGCGCGAUUGAAUGAGCCGAUGUCGGAUUAGCUAGUUGGCGGGGUAAAGGCCCACCAAGGCGACGAUCCGUAGCUGGUCUGAGGGGAUGGUCAGGCACCCUGGAAGAGAGGCAGGGUCCAGACACCGGCACGAGGCAGCAGUGCAGAAUAUUGGACGAUGGAGGAGAGCCGGAUACAGCAAUACCGCGGCAGUGAAGAAGGCGUUCGGGUUGUAAAGCGCUGUUGUUGGGAAGGAAGAGCAGCUGGUUAGUACGCGACGGUACUGACGGUACCCGAAGAAUAAGCACCGGCUAACUUCGUG